UACGUAGGGUGCAAGCGUUGUCCGGAAUUAUUGGGCGUAAAGAGCUCGUAGGCGGUCUGUCGCGUCGGUCGUGAAAACCUGCAGCUUAACUGUGGGCGUGCGGUCGAUACGGGCAGACUGGAGUACUGCAGGGGAGACUGGAAUUCCUGGUGUAGCGGUGGAAUGCGCAGAUAUCAGGAGGAACACCGGUGGCGAAGGCGGGUCUCUGGGCCGAUAACUGACGCUGAGGAGCGAAAGCGUGGGGAGCGAACAGG
rnacentral:rRNA from 1 species